CCUCUCCAUGAUGAGGAGAUCAUCGUGUACAUGUUGGCGGGAUUGGACACUGAGUUUGACUCACUGGUCACAUCUAUCAAUAUAAGGUCAAAUUCAAUUUCUCUUAGUGAUCUCUAUGUAUACAUGCUGGUAUUUGAGC